rnacentral:lncRNA from 1 species
UCCUUCCACUUGAACUAGAUGACUCUUCCAGCUUCUCAAAAAGAGACAGAAUUAAAAUAAUUAAUAUUUUGCUUGAAGAACGCGUUAUGCCCCCAGAUGCCAUCCUCGAUGUCGCAUACGAUCACAUGGCUUAAAAGUUUGCAAAUACCCAAACUGAAUCAACGAUGCUCCGGUGUCGCAUGAUCUGAUUCCAAGCUUGAGAGC